UACAGAGGGUGCAAGCGUUGUCCGGAAUUAUUGGGCGUAAAGAGCUCGUAGGCGGUCUGUUACGUCUGCUGUGAAAACCCAGGGCUUAACCCUGGGCUUGCAGUGGAUACGGGCAGACUAGAGGCAGGUAGGGGAGAAUGGAAUUCCCGGUGUAGCGGUGAAAUGCGCAGAUAUCAGGAGGAACACCGGUGGCGAAGGCGGGUCUCUGGGCAGUUACUGACGCUGAGGAGCGAAAGCAUGGGGAGCGAACAGG
rnacentral:rRNA from 1 species